rnacentral:rRNA from 1 species
GAUGAACGCUGGCGGCGUGCCUAAUACAUGCAAGUCGAGCGAACGGACGAGAAGCUUGCUUCUCUGAUGUUAGCGGCGGACGGGUGAGUAACACGUGGAUAACCUACCUAUAAGACUGGGAUAACUUCGGGAAACCGGAGCUAAUACCGGAUAAUAUUUUGAACCGCAUGGUUCAAAAGUGAAAGACGGUCUUGCUGUCACUUAUAGAUGGAUCCGCGCUGCAUUAGCUAGUUGGUAAGGUAACGGCUUACCAAGGCAACGAUGCAUAGCCGACCUGAGAGGGUGAUCGGCCACACUGGAACUGAGACACGGUCCAGACUCCUACGGGAGGCAGCAGUAGGGAAUCUUCCGCAAUGGGCGAAAGCCUGACGGAGCAACGCCGCGUGAGUGAUGAAGGUCUUCGGAUCGUAAAACUCUGUUAUUAGGGAAGAACAUAUGUGUAAGUAACUGUGCACAUCUUGACGGUACCUAAUCAGAAAGCCACGGCUAACUACGUGCCAGCAGCCGCGGUAAUACGUAGGUGGCAAGCGUUAUCCGGAAUUAUUGGGCGUAAAGCGCGCGUAGGCGGUUUUUUAAGUCUGAUGUGAAAGCCCACGGCUCAACCGUGGAGGGUCAUUGGAAACUGGAAAACUUGAGUGCAGAAGAGGAAAGUGGAAUUCCAUGUGUAGCGGUGAAAUGCGCAGAGAUAUGGAGGAACACCAGUGGCGAAGGCGACUUUCUGGUCUGUAACUGACGCUGAUGUGCGAAAGCGUGGGGAUCAAACAGGAUUAGAUACCCUGGUAGUCCACGCCGUAAACGAUGAGUGCUAAGUGUUAGGGGGUUUCCGCCCCUUAGUGCUGCAGCUAACGCAUUAAGCACUCCGCCAGGGGAGUACGACCGCAAGGUUGAAACUCAAAGGAAUUGACGGGGACCCGCACAAGCGGUGGAGCAUGUGGUUUAAUUCGAAGCAACGCGAAGAACCUUACCAAAUCUUGACAUCCUUUGACAACUCUAGAGAUAGAGCUUUCCCCUUCGGGGGACAAAGUGACAGGUGGUGCAUGGUUGUCGUCAGCUCGUGUCGUGAGAUGUUGGGUUAAGUCCCGCAACGAGCGCAACCCUUAAGCUUAGUUGCCAUCAUUAAGUUGGGCACUCUAAGUUGACUGCCGGUGACAAACCGGAGGAAGGUGGGGAUGACGUCAAAUCAUCAUGCCCCUUAUGAUUUGGGCUACACACGUGCUACAAUGGACAAUACAAAGGGCAGCGAAACCGCGAGGUCAAGCAAAUCCCAUAAAGUUGUUCUCAGUUCGGAUUGUAGUCUGCAACUCGACUACAUGAAGCUGGAAUCGCUAGUAAUCGUAGAUCAGCAUGCUACGGUGAAUACGUUCCCGGGUCU